rnacentral:rRNA from 1 species
UACGUAGGGUGCGAGCGUUGUCCGGAAUUAUUGGGCGUAAAGAGCUUGUAGGCGGUUUGUCGCGUCUGCUGUGAAAUUUCGGGGCUCAACCCCGAACUUGCAGUGGGUACGGGCAGACUAGAGUGUGGUAGGGGAGACUGGAAUUCCUGGUGUAGCGGUGAAAUGCGCAGAUAUCAGGAGGAACACCGAUGGCGAAGGCAGCUCUCUGGGACGUUACUGACGCUGAGACGCGAAAGCGUGGGGAGCAAACAGG